GACGAACGCUGGCGGCGUGCCUAAUACAUGCAAGUAGAACGCUGAAGGAGGAGCUUUCUUCUCUGGAUGAUUUGCGAACGGGUGAGUAACGCGUAUGUAACCUGCCUGGUAGCGGGGGAGAACUAUUGGAAACGAUAGCUAUUACCGCAUAAUAGUAUAUGUCGCAUGACAUUCGCUUAAAAAGUGCAAUUUCAUCACUACCUGAUGAACCUGCGUUGCAUUAGCUAGUUGUUGAGGUAACGGCCCACCAAGGCAACGAGACAAAGCAGACCUCGGAGGGGGAUUGGCCCAACUGGGACUGAGACACGGCCCAGAAUCCUACGGGAGGCAGCAGUAGGGAAACCUUGGCAAUGGACGGAAGGCCGAACGGGGCACGCCGCGUGGGUGGAGGAGGGUUUCGGAUCGUAAAGAUCUGUUGUAAGGGAAGAAAGAGUGUGGGAGUGGAAAGUUCACACUGUGACGGUAUCUUACCAGAAAGGCACGGCUAACUACGUG
rnacentral:rRNA from 1 species